AAUCGGCGUACAUCACCGGGAACGUGUUCCCACCGAGGUGCCGAGAGGGAUGAGCCUCGGCAACAGCGGCGAAAGCCGGAAAGCCGGAACAUCAAGGGAACGAGUAGGGUUUGGUAGGCGUAAGCUCGAAGAACCCGGACUCA
rnacentral:sRNA from 12 species